AAUGUUAAAUCCUAAAAAUGAAACAGUUGCGUAUUAAUAUAAAUGUUUAAAGUGCUUCUGGAGGCAGCAGCACGCGGGUUGUCAUAGGGACUACAGCACGUGUUUACGUACAACAAUUAAGUUUCACUCGAGUGAUCUUGUAAUCAUAUUGAGCUGUGUAGCGACAACAACAUGAAGACAUAUUAAAAUCAAAUGUGUAAGACGCAGAUGUGCUGGAUAGAGCAUUGAAUAACUUGAAUGAAUCAACUGUUGGAUUCUUGAUGGUUCACUUUGAGUUUUACUAGCACCACUAAAAUAACCCAUUAAGAUAAAGAGCCUUGGGAACGGUUUCCAUGGCGACCGAAACUGCAGACAAGGAGAGUGUGCUGAGACGGGGAUCUGAAUGCACUUGCAGUCUCGUCUCAUGUGGAGCGCUGGCCUGCCUCCUUCCUCCCCUCUCAUUUGUGAAAUGAGCUGCUAUUUUUUUGCUCAAGCUUUUCUUUCUAUCUCAGCUUGUGGCAAACUCCUUAGUUUAGAUCAGUAGGUUGCAUAUUUUUUUUAACUUUUUUCCUUGCCUGCAACAGGUUAAGCAUGUAAAUUACAUUUCUGGAUGGAUGUAUGACGUCAAAGUUGGGCUUAGGGCUGUCACGAUUAUGAUAUUUGGGUGACGGUUAAUUGGUAAAUAAAUUGUGCCGGUUAUGACGAUUAAUUGCCUAUUUUAGGGCUUUGGCGAUUAUGACGAUUAAUUGCCUGUUUUAGGGCUUUGACGUUUAAUUCUCAUAGAUUUUUUUGUUUGUUCAUAAAAUUAUUUUCAAUUAUU